rnacentral:lncRNA from 1 species
CGCUGCCAAAAUCACAGAAAGAAUAAAGUUAAAAGUACAUUUCAUUUGUUAAAAUUCUAUUAUGGUAUCUGAGAAAUUGCAUAAAGACGUCAGUUCAUGGGAUGUGUGAUUCAUAUCAUUUAAAAUUAUUUAUUUGUGUUCUACAUUCAUCAAUUUAACGAAAAAUAGGUUUAACAGGUACUAGAAGAAGCUGAUUUGAAAUUAUUAAUGUCAUCUAGCGUCGAGUAGAAGUGAUAGCCACGAGAUGGACACAGAAAUUGGCAGCAUAGCAUUUACGUUAUGUGUGUUAUAAUAAAGAUAUAUUGCUCUUUUAUUUAAGCAUGAAUGUACGAAUUGUAUACUUAUUUUAUUGUGAUUUCCCUUCAUACCAAUUAUGUGUAGAAAUAUUGAUAAAGAAUGUUUGUUUGUUGUUCGACAAAGUGAGGUUGACAAUUGGUGCAAGUUUACGAAGUUUGAUAAGUACAAGUUUACGAAGUUUGUAGAGCUCAAGUUUACGAGGUUUGUUAGUACUUACAACAUUUUAUUUUCAAAUGCUUAUUAUAAAUUAAUAAAUAUGUUAAACAUUAACAAAAUUAAUACACAAAUAAAAGGACAAAUAAUUGCUUUCUGUAAUUAUUGGUUCUUAAAACAUAAAUGAAAAAUCGAUGUGAUCGAUAAACACGCAUAAAAAACAGUCGAUUUCCGAACGUCUGUCUUUGACAUAUGACAUUAAAGGAUUGUAAAUGUAAAUAUUGUGACCGGCAAAAUAUGUGUUUAUAUAAACAAAGGUAGUGAAAUUACUUGCUGAUUACCUGAAAAUAUGACGGGGAGUCCGUUUCUACACAGGGAGGUAGUACCAGGAUAAAUCUACGCUAAUUCUAGCCACUGUGGUCCCAAUGCAGACAUUCGGUUUUAUGGCUCAUUGGGAAGCAGGCACAGCAAAGAGGUUUGGGGUUUAAUCCCUAGCAAGGACGCCCUUGUGGCGAUAUGAACGCCCUUGGGGCAAAAUGUUGAAAGACUCGAUCUUGAGAUGCCAGUCAUGCUGACCAGUGUGGAGGCAACGAGGACAGCGGUUAGAGAAAGGCUCUAACAGUCAUUCCAUACAUGCAGUGUAGCCACUGCUAACCAAAG